AGUGAACGCUGGCGGUAGGCCUAACACAUGCAAGUCGAACGGCAGCACAGUAAGAGCUUGCUCUUACGGGUGGCGAGUGGCGGACGGGUGAGGAAUACAUCGGAAUUUACUUUUUCGUGGGGGAUAACGUAGGGAAACUUACGCUAAUACCGCAUACGAACUACGGGUGAAAGCAGGGGAACUUCGGACCUUGCGCGAUUGAAUGAGCCGAUGUCGGAUUAGCUAGUUGGCGGGGUAAAGGCCCACCAAGGCGACGAUCCGUAGCUGGUCUGAGAGGAUGAUCAGCCACACUGGAACUGAGACACGGUCCAGACUCCUACGGGAGGCAGCAGUGGGGAAUAUUGGACAAUGGGCGCAAGCCUGAUCCAGCCAUACCGCGUGGGUGAAGAAGGCCUUCGGGUUGUAAAGCCCUUUUGUUGGGAAAGAAAAGCAGCAGGUUAAUACCCCGCUGUUCUGACGGUACCCAAAGAAUAAGCACCGGCUAACUUCGUG
rnacentral:rRNA from 1 species